UCUGGAAUAUUCUGAGAUAUAUUUAACACGACGGGGCGAACAGUUGGAUUCUCUUUCUCUAUUAUACUCACUGCUUUCUCAACAUUUUGCCCCAAUAGCUCUGGCCAAGCUGUCUUACCUAUACACAUUUUUAAUGAUGCAAUAACAUCAUCAUAUGAACAUUUGAAACAGAUUAUGAGGUAAUAUAAUGAAGUUGUUUAAGAGGAAAAAAAUAACUAUUCAUGUAAGAAGUAAA
rnacentral:lncRNA from 1 species